rnacentral:rRNA from 1 species
UACGAAGGGUGCAAGCGUUGUCCGGAAUUAUUGGGCGUAAAGAGCUCGUAGGCGGUUUGUCGCGUCUGCUGUGAAAAACUCGGGGCUUAACUCCGGGCCUGCAGUGGGUACGGGCAGACUAGAGUGCGGUAGGGGAGACUGGAAUUCCUGGUGUAGCGGUGAAAUGCGCAGAUAUCAGGAGGAACACCGGUGGCGAAGGCGGGUCUCUGGGCCGUAACUGACGCUGAGGAGCGAAAGCGUGGGGAGCGAACGG